GGCGUCUCUCAUGGAGGAGGGGACAGGGGUGGAGCUCAACGUGACCAAGAGCUGUGACAUCAUGUCUGAAAUCGCUACGGUGACCUUUGAGGACGCUGACGCUACCUACAAGGCUGGAAUCCCCUACACUGGCAAGAUCCCAGCUCCCAAGGGAGGCAUGCAGGGUGCAGGCACAACCAAUGAACACUGGUGGCUAAUGCAUUCAGAUCUCCGGUGCAUGGGGCAUACGCAGAAGUGAAGCACAUAUAGACACCACAUCUCGAAGAACGCUAGUCACUAACAGGUAAGUACCUUCCCAUUGUAUGAUGUGCAGUGCACACGCCUAAAUUUACCCAAGGCAGAUUAUUGUAUUGCAUUCUGGACAGGUGCCAAGCCUAGAAAAGGUGCGUGACACUUUGCUGAAGGACUGUCAUGGAGAAGAUCUCAAGAUGGCAAUCUAGCGCCAUCAAUUUUGAUUUUCUCUCACUUACUGGCCAACCCACACGGAACAAUGUUAUUUCUACACAAGGGCCCGCAGGUGGGGUGAGCACAUCUGGGGGAGGGAGAUGGAGUUUUCCAGCUGAGCACAUAGCAGAAGGGUCUAGAGAGACUCUACUUAAGAAGGGGCGCUGCUCUGUGCAGCCGUGCCGACCAUCACCACAUGCCAGAAGGACUGGCUGGAGACAGACAAGGCGGGAGGGAUUCUGCCCAGCCUGAACUGUUGACAAACUCCAGAGUCAGAGGCAGGGUGAGAUCAGACUAGAGAAGGGUGCUCAUCAGGACAUUUGUUCUUUGGCAAAGAUCUGUAACUCUUGAGCCGUCGAAGUGACUGUGGUUUAGAAAUUCCUUUGUUAAGCCUGAGUUCCUUGCUUGUCUACCACAUUGUCCCUAAGGGUUUAAUCUUAAAGCCCAGCAUGGCCACAGCCCAGAUGGGACUCAGAGGGAAUGUGUGUAAGCAAAGCAAGGAGGCUGGGAGAUCUGAGGCCCUGGUUUCAGGGCCUGGGGGUGGUUGGACUGUAGAGCCCACAUCCCAAGGGAGGGCUCAGUCAAGGGAUCAGACAACCUGUUACCCCUCAGUGCUCACCCCAGCACCCCCAGCUAUUCCAGUCCUGCUGCAACUUCUUCCAAGAUCUGCUAAUGCCCCUCAGUCCUCACCCCAACACCCCAACCCAGCCCUGGGCUUUCCCAGUGCAUCUCAGGACUGGAUUGCAUUGUCCCUUUCUGCUUCCCGUCAACUCUUUAGCCCCUAGUGGGUAACACUCUCCCAGGAGUCUGCGCCCCUGAGUUGUGUGUCUCCCCUUUU